rnacentral:rRNA from 1 species
AGGACGAACGCUGGCGGCGUGCUUAACACAUGCAAGUCGAGCGAGGCCCUCUCUUCGGAGAGGUGCCCUAGCGGCGAACGGGUGAGUAACACGUGGGCAACCUGCCCCUAGCACUGGGAUAAGCCCGGGAAACCGGGUCUAAUACCGGAUAUGACCUUCAAGGGCAUCCUCGAAGGUGUAAAGGAUUCUGGCUAGGGAUGGGCCCGCGGCCUAUCAGCUUGUUGGUGGGGUAAUGGCCCACCAAGGCAACGACGGGUAGCCGGCCUGAGAGGGCGACCGGCCACACUGGGACUGAGACACGGCCCAGACUCCUACGGGAGGCAGCAGUGGGGAAUAUUGCACAAUGGGCGAAAGCCUGAUGCAGCGACGCCGCGUGAGGGAUGACGGCCUUCGGGUUGUAAACCUCUUUCAGCUCCGACGAAGCGAAGUGACGGUAGGAGCAGAAGAGCACCGGCCAACUACGUGCCAGCAGCCGC